GGUGCCUACGGGGCGCAGCAGUAGGGAAUCUUCCACAAUGGACGAAAGUCUGAUGGAGCAACGCCGCGUGAGUGAAGAAGGGUUUCGGCUCGUAAAGCUCUGUUGGUAGUGAAGAAAGAUAGAGGUAGUAACUGGCCUUUAUUUGACGGUAAUUACUUAGAAAGUCACGGCUAACUACGUGCCAGCAGCCGCGGUAAUACGUAGGUGGCAAGCGUUGUCCGGAUUUAUUGGGCGUAAAGCGAGUGCAGGCGGUUCAAUUAGUCUGAUUUGGAAGCCUUCGGCUCAACCGGAGAAUU
rnacentral:rRNA from 1 species